GGCUCGAUGGCGGAGGUCCGCGUUUGCACCGAAUUUUCUUGUUGGAUACUCCACAUCUACUGCAGGAGGCCCCCGUUCGAAUCGGGGUCGAGCCA